CGCGUAGGCGGCUUGGCAAGUCAGAUGUGAAAGCCCUGGGCUUAACUCAGGAAUUGCAUCUGAAACUGCUUUGCUUGAGUCCUGGAGGGGGUAGUGGAAUUCCCAGUGUAGCGGUGAAAUGCGUAGAUAUUGGGAGGAACACCUGUGGCGAAGGCGGCUACCUGGACAGUGACUGACGCUGAUGCGCGAAAGCUAGGGGAGCAAACGGGAUUAGAUACCCCGGUAGUCCUAGCCGUAAACGAUGGGCACUUGGUGUCGGGGGUAUUGAGUCCCCCGGUGCCGGAGUUAACACGUUAAGUGCCCCGCCUGGGGAGUACGGUCGCAAGACUGAA
rnacentral:rRNA from 1 species